AUGCAGGGACGUGCCCGUGUUCUGGUUCGGGUCCGUCCUGCCCUGCGCGGUGACCGCGUUCUUCUGGCCGCGCGCGGGCCGGCGCGUGGUGAUCACGCAGUUCUGGAGCACGGCCGCCGCGUUGCCGAAGACGAAGUCGACGGUGCCGGAGACGAAGCAGUCGCGGUAGAACUGCCGCAGCUGGUGCGCGUAGAGGGUGUCCUGGUAGCCGUCGACGCGGCAGCGGUUGAUGACGGCGCGGUCGGCGCUCACGCGCAGGGCCACCGCCUGGUGCUUCUCGGGCCCCGCCGUGUUAUCGAUCCUGAGGUCCUGUAG
rnacentral:rRNA from 1 species